rnacentral:rRNA from 1 species
GACGAACGCUGGCGGCGUGCUUAACACAUGCAAGUCGAACGGAAAGGCCCUGCUUUUGUGGGGUGCUCGAGUGGCGAACGGGUGAGUAACACGUGAGUAACCUGCCCUUGACUUUGGGAUAACUUCAGGAAACUGGGGCUAAUACCGGAUAGGGGCUCCUGCUGCAUGGUGGGGGUUGGAAAGUUUCGGCGGUUGGGGAUGGACUCGCGGCUUAUCAGCUUGUUGGUGGGGUAGUGGCUUACCAAGGCUUUGACGGGUAGCCGGCCUGAGAGGGUGACCGGCCACAUUGGGACUGAGAUACGGCCCAGACUCCUACGGGAGGCAGCAGUGGGGAAUAUUGCACAAUGGGCGGAAGCCUGAUGCAGCAACGCCGCGUGCGAGAUGACGGCCUUCGGGUUGUAAACCGCUUUCGCCUGUGACGAAGCGUGAGUGACGGUAAUGGGUAAAGAAGCACCGGCUAACUACGUG